UGAAAAUCAGUUCGAUCAUUAAGUUCACUCGUGGUUGUUACUGAAGGUAUAGAGUAUAGUAAGAAAGAGAUAUGGCGAGUAACUCGAACUCAACACAAUUUCCCAGUAGAUUUGUCGUUUAGGACUAAUAAAGCAGAAAUUACACGACCUACUGUACACGAAGAAUGCUGUUGUGAUGAAGACGCAGUUAUUUUAGAAUGUGGAUGACUAUCUUUAUAAAACAUUAAAGUACUUCUAUGUUUGAUGUUUGAAUUCAAGUUUUUUGACUUGUUAUUUUGCAUUGCAUCUGCAUCAUUGUAAAUGAAACUUUGUAAUUUAAUCUUGUUUGUCAAAUCUGUAUAUGUUUAACAAUAAAGUUGUUUCUUAACUCAUUUUUUAAUAGAAAA